GACUGCGUAGCUCAGUUGGCAGAGCAUUGGGCUAGUAUUCGAAAGGUCGUAGGUUCGAUUCCCACCGUGGUCA
rnacentral:tRNA from 1 species